rnacentral:rRNA from 1 species
GAUGAACGCUAGCGGGAGGCUUAACACAUGCAAGUCGAGGGGUAAAUGGUAGCAAUACUAUGAGACCGGCGGACGGGUGCGUAACGCGUAUGCAACAUACCUUUAGCAGGGGGAUAGCCCGUGGAAACGCGGAUUAAUAUUCCAUAGUCCAGCUGUAUCGCAUGGUAUAGUUGGUAAAGAUUUAUCGGCACAAGUUUGGCAUGCGUCUGAUUAGCUUGUUGGUAGGGUAACGGCCUACCAAGGCUACGAUCAGUAGGGGUUCUGAGAGGAUUAACCCCCACACUGGUACUGAGACACGGACCAGACUCCUACGGGAGGCAGCAGUGAGGAAUAUUGGUCAAUGGGCGGAAGCCUGAACCAGCCAUCCCGCGUGAAGGAAGACAGCCUUACGGGUUGUAAACUUCUUUUCUGUCAGAAGAAUAAGCUUGUCGAGACGAGUGAUGCCGGUAUGACAGGAAUAAGCAUCGGCUAACUCCGUGCCAGCAGCCGCGGUAAACU